ACGAACGCUGGCGGCGCGCCUAACACAUGCAAGUCGAACGGACGAAGGGAGCUUGCUCCCCGAGUUAGUGGCGGACGGGUGAGUAACACGUGAGCAACCUGCCUUUCAGAGGGGGACAACAGUUGGAAACGACUGCUAAUACCGCAUAACGUGUAUUUGAGGCAUCUCAGAUAUACCAAAGAUUUAUCGCUGAAAGAUGGGCUCGCGUCUGAUUAGAUAGUUGGUGAGGUAACGGCCCACCAAGUCGACGAUCAGUAGCCGGACUGAGAGGUUGAACGGCCACAUUGGGACUGAGACACGGCCCAGACUCCUACGGGAGGCAGCAGUGGGGGAUAUUGGACAAAUGGGGGGAACCCUGAUCCAGCGACGCCGCGUGAGGGAAGAAGGUUUUCGGAUUGUAAACCUCUGUUGACAGGGAAGAAAAUGACGGUACCUGUUUAGAAAGCCACGGCUAACUACGUGCCAGCCGCGGC
rnacentral:rRNA from 1 species